AUUGAACGCUGGCGGCAGGCCUAACACAUGCAAGUCGAGCGGAUGAGUGGAGCUUGCUCCAUGAUUCAGCGGCGGACGGGUGAGUAAUGCCUAGGAAUCUGCCUGGUAGUGGGGGACGACGUUUCGAAAGGAACGCUAAUGCCGCAUACGUCCUACGGGAGAAAGUGGGGGAUCUUCGGACCUCACGCUAUCAGAUGAGCCUAGGUCGGAUUAGCUAGUUGGUGAGGUAAAGGCUCACCAAGGCGACGAUCCGUAACUGGUCUGAGAGGAUGAUCAGUCACACUGGAACUGAGACACGGUCCAGACUCCUACGGGAGGCAGCAGUGGGGAAUAUUGGACAAUGGGCGAAAGCCUGAUCCAGCCAUGCCGCGUGUGUGAAGAAGGUCUUCGGAUUGUAAAGCACUUUAAGUUGGGAGGAAGGGCAGUAAGUUAAUACCUUGCUGUUUUGACGUUACCAACAGAAUAAGCACCGGCUAACUUCGUGCCAGCCGCCGCGGUAACAC
rnacentral:rRNA from 1 species